UUCAGAGAGUAAAAAUAAAUAGGUAAACACAAGGGAAGUACUUUGUGCUUGGAAAUUCUGACUGUUCGUCGCUUAGUAAGGAAAUAACUAUAUUAGUAGCGAAUAAAAACAUAUAUUAACCAAAAAAAGCUUUCAACUUUUUUUUUAAAAAUCAGGACUAACGAUCAUUCGACGUUCAAAGGAACCAAGGUUCCAAAUUCGUUUUGAAUCAUAAUCAACAACGGCUAUUUCUUGUAGAAAUAAACAAUCUGAACCAGAUUGAACAACAAAGUUUACGCCUCCCAUCUCCAAUGUAGUUUUUCCAGAUUGAUGAACACGCAAAACUCCAAUCUGACCAGCAGGUGGGUGAAAUGCGGGAUAGGGUAAAGAUGUUAAGUCGUCAAUAUUACCAUUUUCUCGUCCAUGUUUAUCAGGAUCCUUUUUUUCUUCUACGUCAGUCUUUUCACCUGCCUCUUCCUCCUUGACUUCGGACGAUGGCCAUACUGGAUCGACAUCCGCAUCACCCAUAAACCUAGGAAGCUUGUCAGGGAAUUGCAUCAGAACCAUUUGAUCUUUAAAAUGAUCUUCCAUUCCUUCUUGCUCAGUCAGUCCAAGGUGUUGAGCUAAGGAUUGCAAAUCCAAGGCAACUCUUUCUUGCUCUUCGUCCUCCUUGUUAAUAACUGUCGUAUGAAUAGCGCUUUCAGCAUGGUGCUUGAGUUUUUCAUCAUUCGACUCAGGAAGCAUACGAUCCGUAAUUAUGGGGACUAAAAGAUCUUUCCCUCCAAUAUCUGUCUUCCCCUGCUCUUGGCCAUUUAAUUCUCGAAGUUUAAGAAUGUCGACCAUGUCCUCAUCAUGGCCUUCAUCAUGGCCAGAAGAAGCAGCAAGUUUGGACAGGGCAUCAUCUUUUUCUUCGUUUUUGACAUUAGGAGGUGGCACAUACACAGACCCUAUGGGGCGGCCAGUACCAGAAGAAGAGGCAUUAGGGCCUAAUGCAAAAGGUCCUGAGGCAGUAAGCUUUAUUUCUGGUUUCGGCCUUGAAGCUUUCCAUUUUUUUUGAGAUUCGACGUCAAAUUCUAUCUUAACACGCUCAUCCACAUCUUUUUCUUCAACAGGCCCAUUUUUUCUUCGUGGGACGAACUUCGGAGUAAAUUUUCUCAUAUUUCAG